rnacentral:rRNA from 1 species
CCAGACUCCUACGGGAGGCAGCAGUGGGGAAUAUUGCACAAUGGGGGGAACCCUGAUGCAGCGACGCCGCGUGGGUGAAGGAGCACCUCGGUGCGUAAAGCCCUAUCGGCAGGGAAGAAACAGACGGUACCUGACUAAGAAGCCCCGGCUAACUACGUGCCAGCAGCCGCGGUAAUACGUAGGGGGCGAGCGUUAUCCGGAUUCACUGGGUGUAAAGGGAGCGUAGACGGCCGUGCAAGCCAGGAGUGAAAGCCCGGGGCCCAACCCCGGGACUGCUCUUGGAACUGUGCGGCUGGAGUGCGGGAGGGGCAGGCGGAAUUCCUGGUGUAGCGGUGAAAUGCGUAGAGAUUAGGAAGAACACCAGUGGCGAAGGCGAUUCUCUGGACUGUAACUGACGCUGAGGCUCGAAAGCGUGGGGAGCAAACAGGAUUAGAUACCCCAGUA